UUCCUAGAAGAGGGAUUUUCAGGUAUCUGUAUAGGAGAGAUUUGCUUCUCUUGUGGUGCAAGUUCAAGCAUAUAUUCAGCUGAACUGCAGUAGCUGCUGCCCCAGAACUGCAGCAGGUGGAAUCCCCUAUUGUAGUGAAGGUCAGGAAAAACCUUAUUUGAACCAUAUUCACGAAAUAGGUGUCUAUAUCUAUCUUAAAGUGAUUGAUUUCGAGUAUGAUAUUGUUUCCCAUUUAUGUAUUAUCAUGAUUUAAUUCAUUUUUCACCUGUGGAUCUCCCUGCUAUCACAUCUUCUUCACUACAGCAAAAUUCCAUGCAUCAACAGUCUGCUCAGCAUGCAUUGAUGUCAGCUGGAGCGAAAGAUGCAGGUGCUCAUGACAUCACUAUUCAGCAUAUGCUGGCCAGGUGAAAGCAGAAGCCCAACAGCAACAACAAAAUUCAUCUAAUGAUUUGAACAUGGAACCUGCUACUAAUUUUGGAGUAAAUAAGAGUCUCAUGAAUGAGAUUUCAACAUAUAGUGUGGAUGGUCUUGUUUCGAUAAGUACUGUUAACCUAAAGCUACGGAAGCAGAAGCUACACGCUUUCUUGCAAGGAAGAAGAAGAAGAUGAGUGCGGAUCCAAUCCCUUCUUCGAACUCCCAUAGCCAGCUCGAUGGGCAGAUUUCUCAGUUCAUGCAGCGCAAGCCCCUCUGCGAGCAAGAAGUAGAGACGGCUGAGACUGUAACGUGCAUGAAUGAACUAGGUUGGAUCCCUGGAUGUCUUACUCUUGCCUUGUAAACCUCACUUGGUAAUUUUUAAAAAAGAAGGAAAAAAAAAAAGUGCUCAUCUUGUUCAGGCCAAGGCUCUUGAGUGGGAUUUGGAAUGGGUCAGGCCCAUCUCAGCUUAGAAGAGCUGAAAGCCCUACCAACUGUCAUCCAUGAUUUGCCAGUAAACUCUAAAUGCUACCUAAAAAAUAGAAGAAUAGUUCUCUUAUAUGUUUGAAUAUUUUCAAAUCUUUCAUGAUUCCACAGGCAAUUAUUCAUCCAGAAGCAAUCAUUUUUAAAUAUUUGAUUUGUUAGCUAGUAUAGGCAACCUUUAUUGGGGAAUGUAAUGCAUCAUGAAUGCCAUGAAGUUGGAAGUUGC